UGGUGAGAUACCACUCUAACAAUGCUAGGAUUCUAACCCUAUACCGUNAUCCGGUUAGGGGACAGUUUCAGGUGGUCAGUUUGACUGGGGCGGUCGCCUCCCAAAAGGUAACGGAGGCGUGCAAAGGUUUCCUCAGGCUGGUCGGAAAUCAGUCGUAGAGUGUAAAGGCAUAAGGAAGCUUGAUUGUGAGACUUACAAGUCGAACAAAGACGAAAGUCGGCCUU
rnacentral:rRNA from 1 species